rnacentral:rRNA from 1 species
GUUGUAUGGUUAAGUGACUAAGCGUACACGGUGGAUGCCUUGGCAGUCAGAGGCGAUGAAAGACGUAGUAACUUGCGAUAAGCCCAGAUUAGGUAGUAACAACCAUUUGAGUCUGGGAUUUCUGAAUGGGGAAACCCACUUACAUAAGUAAGUAUCAUUAAUUGAAUACAUAGGUUAAUGAGGCGAACCGGGGGAACUGAAACAUCUAAGUACCCCGAGGAAAAGAAAUCAACCGAGAUUCCGAAAGUAGCGGCGAGCGAAAUUGGACUAGCCCUUAAGCUUUACACGCGUUAGACGAACGGUCUGGAAAGUCCGACGAUACAGGGUGAUAGUCCCGUAGUUGACGACGUGUGUUCAGUGAAAUCGAGUAGGGCGGGACACGUGAUAUCCUGUCUGAAUAUGGGGGGACCAUCCUCCAAGGCUAAAUACUACUGACUGACCGAUAGUGAACCAGUACCGUGAGGGAAAGGCGAAAAGAACCCCUGUGAGGGGAGUGAAAUAGAACCUGAAACCGUGUACGUACAAGCAGUAGGAGCAGGCUUUGUCCUGUGACUGCGUACCUUUUGUAUAAUGGGUCAGCGACUUAUAUUCAGUGGCAAGGUUAACCAUCUAGGGGAGCCGUAGGGAAACCGAGUCUUAACUGGGCGUUCAGUCUCUGGAURUAGACCCGAAACCAGGUGAUCUAGCCAUGGGCAGGUUGAAGGUUGAGUAACAUCAACUGGAGGACCGAACCGACUAAUGUUGAAAAAUUAGCGGAUGACUUGUGGCUAGGGGUGAAAGGCCAAUCAAACCUGGAGAUAGCUGGUUCUCCCCGAAAGCUAUUUAGGUAGCGCCUCGGACGAAUACUACUGGGGGUAGAGCACUGUUAAGGCUAGGGGGUCAUCCCGACUUACCAACCCUUUGCAAACUCCGAAUACCAGUAAGUACUAUCCGGGAGACACACGGCGGGUGCUAACGUCCGUCGUGGAGAGGGAAACAACCCAGACCGCCAGCUAAGGUCCCAAAUUACUACUAAGUGGGAAACGAUGUGGGAAGGCUCAGACAGCCAGGAUGUUGGCUUAGAAGCAGCCAUCAUUUAAAGAAAGCGUAAUAGCUCACUGGUCGAGUCGGCCUGCGCGGAAGAUGUAACGGGGCUAAGUAGUAAACCGAAGCUGCGGCAAUGUGCUUUUGCACAUUGGGUAGGGGAGCGUUCUGUAAGCGGUUGAAGGUGUGUGGUAACGCAUGCUGGACGUAUCAGAAGUGCGAAUGCUGACAUGAGUAACGAUAAAGGGGGUGAAAAACCUCCUCGCCGGAAGACCAAGGGUUCCUGUCCAACGUUAAUCGGGGCAGGGUAAGUCGACCCCUAAGGCGAGGCCGAAAGGCGUAGUCGAUGGGAAACGGGUUAAUAUUCCCGUACUUCUUACAAUUGCGAUGGGGGGACGGAGAAGGCUAGGUGGGCCUGGCGACGGUUGUCCAGGUUCAAGUGCGUAGGCUUAAGAGUUAGGUAAAUCCGGCUCUUUUUAAGGCUGAGACACGACGUCGAGCACCUACGGGUGUGAAGUCAUUGAUGCCAUGCUUCCAGGAAAAGCCUCUAAGCUUCAGAUUGUAAGGAAUCGUACCCCAAACCGACACAGGUGGUCGGGUAGAGAAUACCAAGGCGCUUGAGAGAACUCGGGUGAAGGAACUAGGCAAAAUGGUACCGUAACUUCGGGAGAAGGUACGCUCUCGACGGUGAAGUCCCUCGCGGAUGGAGCUAUUGAGAGUCGCAGAUACCAGGUGGCUGCAACUGUUUAUUAAAAACACAGCACUGUGCAAAAUCGUAAGAUGACGUAUACGGUGUGACGCCUGCCCGGUGCCGGAAGGUUAAUUGAUGGGGUUAGACUUCGGUCGAAGCUCUUGAUCGAAGCCCCGGUAAACGGCGGCCGUAACUAUAACGGUCCUAAGGUAGCGAAAUUCCUUGUCGGGUAAGUUCCGACCUGCACGAAUGGCGUAAUGAUGGCCACGCUGUCUCCACCCGAGACUCAGUGAAAUUGAAAUCGCUGUGAAGAUGCAGUGUACCCGCGGCUAGACGGAAAGACCCCGUGAACCUUUACUACAGCUUGGCACUGAACAUUGACCCUACAUGUGUAGGAUAGGUGGGAGGCUUUGAAGCACGUACGCCAGUAUGUGUGGAGCCGUCCUUGAAAUACCACCCUUGUAGUGUUGAUGUUCUAACGUUGACCCCUUAUCGGGGUUGCGGACAGUGCCUGGUGGGUAGUUUGACUGGGGCGGUCUCCUCCCAAAGAGUAACGGAGGAGCACGAAGGUGGGCUAAUCACGGUUGGACAUCGUGAGGUUAGUGCAAUGGCAUAAGCCCGCUUGACUGCGAGAAUGACAAUUCGAGCAGGUGCGAAAGCAGGUCAUAGUGAUCCGGUGGUUCUGAAUGGAAGGGCCAUCGCUCAACGGAUAAAAGGUACUCCGGGGAUAACAGGCUGAUACCGCCCAAGAGUUCAUAUCGACGGCGGUGUUUGGCACCUCGAUGUCGGCUCAUCACAUCCUGGGGCUGAAGUCGGUCCCAAGGGUAUGGCUGUUCGCCAUUUAAAGUGGUACGCGAGCUGGGUUUAGAACGUCGUGAGACAGUUCGGUCCCUAUCUGCCGUGGGCGUUGGAAGAUUGAAGGGGGCUGCUCCUAGUACGAGAGGACCGGAGUGGACGAACCUCUGGUGUUCGGGUUGUGUCGCCAGACGCAUUGCCCGGUAGCUAAGUUCGGAAUCGAUAACCGCUGAAAGCAUCUAAGCGGGAAGCGAGCCCUGAGAUGAGUCUUCCCUGAUACUUUAAGUAUCCUAAAGGGUUGUCGGAGACUACGACGUUGAUAGGUCAGGUGUGUAAGUGCUGUGAGGCAUUGAGCUAACUGAUACUAAUUGCCCGUGAGGCUUAACCAUACAACACCCAAGGGGUUU